GGUUGUAAAGGUUUUGAUCAAAAAGCAAAUUUGAUCAACACAGUUGUGUAUCGGUUUUAAUUAAAUGCAAUCAAUCAAACAACUUUAAAUCUAUUGUCUUUGCUUCCAUCUCACCUUUAAUUAAGUUAAUCAUCAUUAUGGACAAUUAUUUUAUCCAAGAAAUGUCUUCAACACGCAAUUUAAACUCAUUUAACCUUGUAAUCAAUAAUAACUGUUUGUUAAUGAUAAACAUUGAUGUUACCUUUAAUGGAUCAUCUAUUUUUUUUUGUUUCUUGACUCUCUUUUGUUUUUACCUCGAUAUUCAAAUAUUUAUCCACAGUUAUUUCUGCUUCAAUGUACCAAUGAGAUUAAAUUAUUAUAAUAGACUAAUAUUAAUAAUUGUUACUAAUAAUGAUGUUAAUUGGUUAGUUUAAUAGUUUGGUUAAAAAUGGUUUUAGGGUGAAUUAAAUAUGGCGCGCCUUAUAAUGGCUCGGAAACAGGCGAUGUUGCAAUGUUACCAAACGAUGGGUUAAAGGCAAACAGACAGUCAGUUUGAUGUGUUAACUUGUUGAUAUGGUUAAACUAACAAUUAAUUCAUUAAUUCAAACCUAUUACCGUGACAAUUAAGUGAACCUUUGAGGCUGUUAAGAUGACCGUUAAGGAAUUAAUCAAACCGUUAAGGAGAUGUCAUUUGGUAAGCAAUUAAUUACAAUGGAAAUGAAUUUCAAGUCCAGGAAAAAAACAAAUAGUAAACAUGUUUGGUUUUUAUGUCCUGUUAACACCAUAGGAUGAAGACAAUGAAGGACAAUGUGCUUUUAAUUGUUACAUCUUUUGGUAUGGAUCAAAUAAUGAAGCAAGGUCGCCCCCUUUCCAGCCUAAGAGACAAAUGGCUGAAAUGUAUGAAAAGCUAUGUGAACAAAGUUAAUGGAAACAUCUGAUCAUCUUACAUGCUUCUAGACGAACAGUUAACAGUUUCAUUUUACCAACACAUUUUCACUUGAUGUAGCUGCGAUGGUUGAAGUAUUGGUCGAUAAAGAAACAAAUUACGGAUAAAUUACGGUUCAAUGAUGUUCAAGCUUUUCAAUGCAAAAUUUUCCCUCAAAGGAAAGACCUCGAAUUUGAAACUAUCUGAUCAACACCAUUGAUAAACGGAAAGCGUAAAUUGUCUAGAUAUUUAUCAAUGUUUUAAAUGAGUCUACCUGCAAGAGCUGCAGACAAGCAAGUGAAAAACAAGCCUUGGAACGUGAAGGAGUAAACUAAAAGAUUUACACCCAAAAAAAGAGAUGAUCAGUUUAUUGGUUUAUUAAAUUGAAAAGAAACCAAAGGGUUUAUGGGAGAGUUAAUGGUUUACUUCAAGGACUUCAACUCUCAUGUGAUUCAACUGAUCGGAUGAGUUUCUUUACUGUUUGAUAAAUACUUUCAGGGCAAGCUUAUGGUUGGAGCAAGCAAGUUACCAUAAUUUGGAUUUCACGAUAAAACAAAAAUCCAUGGAAAAGUUUUCAAAAGGCUGAUACAAAAUAAUGAUUUUUAUCCUUGUCUGCCAUCGGAUUAAAGUCAAUAAUUACCUUGAUUUAACUGCUACAUUCAAAUUUACAAUCUCAUCGUCACUAUUAUCAUCAAACAUUAUCAUUAACAGCAAUCUUCUCUUUCAAAGUGCUUCUUUCUUGCUUCUUUUCACCUCCUCUUUUAAUCAUCACGAUCAUCCCUUUCCUCACUUUUUUUUCAUCCAAAAAUUCUGGCAGCCUUUUGCCCUUUUUUUCAAGGGGAAACACUUUUACAACAAACACUAUUUACUUCAUGAUAAUAGUAUUGGACUGAAGUAAAAGUGUGAGAAAAAGUCUCUUUUAAUAUCAGUUAUCAUCAAGUUUCCUAGCCUGACCCAAUGAUUUUCAACUUAUCAGUUGAAACGUUGAACACUUUGAACAAGAUAAGUCUGCUGUUAAUUAAGUUGUGUUAAUCGACAACUGGGUUUACCCUAGCAAAUUGUUUGACAAAAAUAGCAGCAAUCUUUUCAUUUGAAACGAUAGAACAGAAUAGAUGAACAUUUUUUUUCGGAUAACUCAAAGUUUUAACAUUGAAUUACAGUGAAUUACAAAUGAAUUAAGAAGUAAGAGUAUAUGUAAGAGAAGCUGUAAUUAAACUAAAACUUGAUAUAAGGCAGCAAGUAAUAUCAAAGUGCAAAAGUAAUAAAUAAUCAAAUUAAUUUCAAUCAACAUUUGACCAGAAUUCUGAGUGAUUUAUUUAUUUGUUUAAAUAAUUCACAUCUUAAGCCCCACCUAAGCUGUAAAUUGUAGUUAAUUAAAUCAAUCAAACAGCCCAUCAACAAAACAAAAGGUCAAUUGUCGAUACUUAAUUGAAUAUUACGUGCUUCAAGGUAAAUUGUGAUCUAAAGAAAGGCUGAUGAAUUUUAUCAAAAAGGACAAGAAAAGAUGAAAAGCCUGUUAAUGGAAGCGACUUUGAAGAAAAGGAAGAAAAAAUGAAAAUCAUAAAAGCAUCAUCAAGAUGAACACUGAUCUAAAGUAAUGUUACAGACGAUUCAAGUGCAAUUUACACUUCUCUAAUUGUAAUACAACUUGAAACUAAUCAACAUAUGAGCAUCAUAAAAAGGAUAAUCAACUUAAUUUGA